GGCGGCGGCGGGCAGGAGCCGGAGGGGCGCGGGCGGCGGCUGCGAGCGGAGCCGCGGGGACAGCGCGCGGACGGCCGGGGAUGCUGAGGGGGGCCCGCGCCGGCGCCCCUCGCUCGUGACCGCGGCGUCGCCCCCGAGCGGCCGAGGCGGCGGCCCCGCUGUCCCGCCCCGCGCACGCGCCGGGCCUGGAGCUGACAGCGCGAGCGCGCCCGCGAGCAGCACGAAUGUAUGACAACAUGUCCACGAUGGUGUACGUGAAGGAGGACAGGCUGGAGAAGCUCACGCAGGACGAGAUCAUUUCCAAGACAAAGCAAGUGAUCCAGGGGCUGGAGGCGCUCAAGAACGAGCACAACUCCAUCCUGCAGAGCCUGCUCGAGACGCUGAAGUGUCUGAAGAAGGAUGACGAGAGCAACCUGGUGGAGGAGAAGUCCAACAUGAUCCGCAAGUCCCUGGAGAUGCUGGAGCUGGGCCUGAGCGAGGCGCAGGUCAUGAUGGCCCUGUCCAACCACCUGAACGCCGUGGAGUCGGAGAAGCAGAAGCUGCGUGCGCAGGUCCGCCGCCUGUGCCAGGAGAACCAGUGGCUGCGGGAUGAGCUGGCCAACACGCAGCAGAAGCUGCAGAAGAGCGAGCAGGCCGUGGCCCAGCUGGAGGAGGAGAAGAAACACCUGGAGUUCAUGAAUCAGCUAAAACAAUACGACGACGACAUCUCUCCGUCUGAGGACAAAGACACCGAUUCCACCAAAGAGCCUCUGGACGACCUCUUCCCGAACGACGACGACGACCCCGGCCAAGGAAUCCAGCAGCAGCACAGCAGCGCCGCGGCGGCCGCGCAGCAGGGCGGCUAUGAGAUCCCAGCGCGCCUGCGCACCCUGCACAACCUGGUCAUCCAGUACGCCUCGCAGGGGCGCUACGAGGUGGCCGUGCCCCUGUGCAAGCAGGCCCUGGAGGACCUGGAGAAGACCUCCGGCCACGACCACCCGGACGUGGCCACCAUGCUCAACAUCCUGGCCUUGGUGUACAGAGACCAGAAUAAGUACAAGGAUGCCGCCAACCUGCUGAACGACGCCUUGGCCAUCCGCGAGAAGACGCUGGGCAAAGACCACCCCGCGGUGGCAGCCACUCUGAACAACCUCGCGGUGCUUUACGGCAAGAGAGGGAAGUACAAGGAGGCGGAGCCGCUGUGCAAAAGAGCCCUGGAGAUCCGAGAGAAGGUUUUGGGCAAGGACCACCCGGACGUGGCCAAGCAGUUGAAUAACUUGGCCUUGCUGUGCCAGAACCAGGGCAAGUACGAGGAGGUGGAGUAUUACUACCAGAGGGCCCUCGAGAUCUACCAGACCAAGCUGGGGCCCGACGACCCCAACGUGGCCAAGACCAAGAAUAACCUGGCCUCCUGCUACCUGAAGCAAGGGAAGUUCAAGCAAGCAGAGACCCUGUACAAGGAGAUCCUCACGCGUGCGCACGAGCGGGAGUUUGGUUCUGUGGACGACGAAAACAAGCCCAUCUGGAUGCACGCGGAGGAGAGGGAGGAGUGCAAAGGGAAGCAGAAGGACGGGCCGUCGUUUGGAGAGUAUGGCGGCUGGUACAAGGCCUGCAAGGUGGACAGCCCGACCGUCACCACGACGCUAAAGAACCUCGGGGCGCUCUACAGGCGUCAGGGCAAGUUCGAAGCUGCAGAGACCCUGGAGGAAGCCGCCAUGCGGUCACGCAAGCAGGGUCUUGACAAUGUUCACAAACAGAGAGUGGCCGAGGUGCUGGGCGACCCCGAGGGCUCGGAGAAGCGCCGGAGCCGGGAGAGCCUGACCGUGGACACGGUCAAGUACGAGAGUGGCCCUGACGGAGGGGAGGAAGUGAGUAUGGGCGUAGAGUGGAGCGGGGACGGCACUGGAUCACUGAGGCGCAGCGGCUCCUUUAGCAAGCUGCGCGCCUCCAUUAGACGCAGCAGCGAGAAGCUGGUUAGGAAGCUGAAGGGAGGAAGUGCCCGAGACAGUGAGCCGAGGAACCCUGGCAUGAAGCGUGCCUGCUCUCUGAAUGUCCUAAACGUGGGCGACAAGGCAGCCGAAGACCAUUUCCAAGAACGAAAUAAUUGUCUAGCAGAUGCGAGAGCGCUGAGUGCCAGCCACACUGACCUGGCGCACUGCGGGCCGGGCCGGCGCUGAGCUAGAUAAGCCGAGCCCGCCCGCCAGGCCCCUGCUCGCUGCCCGGCAGGGAGGCCCGCUCGCUUCCUCUGCGAGGGCGCCCCCGGAGAAUGACAGCGGCGGCAGCGGGGUGGAGGAUGCCAGUGCUAAC